UAACACGUAGGGGCCAAGCGUUGUCCGGAUUUAUUGGGCGUAAAGAGCUCGUAGGCGGUUCGGUAAGUCGGGUGUGAAAACUCUGGGCUCAACCCAGAGACGCCACCCGAUACUGCUGUGACUCGAGUCCGGUAGGGGAGUGGGGAAUUCCUGGUGUAGCGGUGAAAUGCACAGAUAUCAGGAGGAACACCGGUGGCGAAGGCGCCACUCUGGGCCGGUACUGACGCUGAGGAGCGAAAGCGUGGGUAGCAAACAGG
rnacentral:rRNA from 1 species